CUAAAUCAAUUUACUUAAUUUACAUUAAAAUAACAGAUUUUUGUCUGUUUUAUAUCAUUUCAAACGAAUUGUUUAACGAAAGAAAUCCGAUCAACAGUGUUUGUUAUCAUAAUACGAGUAGAUAAGAAGUAUUUGAACAGAAAAUCAAUUAUAUUUAAUUUGAAGAGAUAAAAGAAGACGAAAAUAAUGCGUUUUUUAAACAAGUAUAAAUAGAAAAGGAAACCCAGAAUAGAGUAAAUAGAAGAAUCAAAGAGGAUUAUUAAUGCAGUCAGAUAUCCAUUAAUGUAAUGAAAAUCCGAAAGGUUCUAAGCUUUACUACUUGUUUAUUUUUCCUUUCACGUCUGCCUGUCCUCAGGAAAGAAGAAUCCAAAUGAACUGGCAGCUAAAUGGAAAAGUUAAGAGAGAGAAAUAGACUUAAUAAGUGAGAGAAAAGGACAUCUAUCAUCUAUGCGAAGCAUUUCGUGAUUCGCCAAGUGUCUCGCAGAACAGAAAUUUUCAUUAAUAACAAAAAGGAUCUGUACUUCAAAUUUUUCGAAGUUUUUAUCUGCCAUUUCUUCGUAAAAGUCUAUUGAGGAUAAACUUAAAUAUUUCAUGCAGCUGUAAAUAUCGAUGGGGAAGAAAAUAAGAUUUAUUUUUCUAUAAGUAAGUAUUAAACUAUA